rnacentral:rRNA from 1 species
AUGGCGGAGGAGCACAGCGGCGGCCAGCAUGAGCAGCAAGUGUCGGCCGAGAGGCGAGCACGGCAGAAGCUGCUGUUUGCCGUCCCGAUCAUCCCGAUCGUCAUGUUCAUCGUCGCGCCGUGCGCGCUCUUCUUGUUCACGGCCGACCUGGCGCUCCCACGCAUCCGCAUCGAGUACGCCCCGCGCGACGGCGACCGUGACGCUCCGGCCAGUGCGCUAGCGACGGCGGUGGCGGUUGUUCCCAGCGAGGAGCAACAGCAGCUCCCGCCGCUGCGCCAGCUGACCGACCGGCCGUACUCGCUCGGCCCGAACGUGUCCGACUACGACGCCCGCAGAGCGGCUUGGCUCGCCGCGCACCCUCGGUUCCCGGCCUUGGUCGCGCCGGAGCGGCCCCGGGUGCUCGUGGUCACCGGAUCGUCGCCGCGCCGGUGCAAGGACCCGGAGGGCGACCACGUGCUCCUCCGGGCGUUCAAGAACAAGGCGGACUACUGCCGCGUCCACGGCUUCGACAUCUUCUACAGCAACGCGGUGCUGGACGCCGAGAUGAACGGGUUCUGGACGAAGCUGCCGCUGCUGCGCGCGCUGAUGGUGGCGCACCCCGAGGUGGAGCUCCUCUGGUGGGUGGACUCGGACGUGGUGUUCACGGACAUGCUGUUCGAGCCGCCGUGGGGCAAGUACGCGCGGCACAACCUGCUACUCCACGGCUGGGACGACGCGGUGUACGGCGCCAAGAACUGGCUGGGCACCAACGCUGGCAGCUUCGUGAUCCGCAACUGUCAGUGGUCGCUGGACCUCCUGGACGCGUGGGCGCGCAUGGGGCCGCGCGGCCCGGUGCGCGACAGGUACGGGAAGGUCUUCGCAGCGGCGCUGUCCAACCGGGCGGCCUACGAGGCCGACGACCAGUCGGCGCUGGUGUACCUGCUGGUGACGGAGCGCGGCAGGUGGGGCGGUAAGGUGUUCCUGGAGAGCUCCUACCUCCUGCACGGGUUCUGGGAGGGGAUCGUGGACCGGUACGAGGAGAUGCGGAGCAAGGGCCGGCCGGGGCUCGGCGACGACCGCUGGCCGCUCGUGACGCACUUCGUCGGGUGCAAGCCGUGCGGGGAGCAGAGCGCGAGCUACGGGGCCGUGCGGUGCCGCCAGGGCAUGGAGCGCGCGCUCAACUUCGCCGACGACCAGAUACUCGGCCUCUACGGGUUCCAGCACGAGUCGCUCAACACCACGGCCGUGCGGCGCGUCAGGAACGACACCGGGCGGCCGCUGGACGCCGACGACGAGCAGAUCGGCCGCCUCCUGCACCCAGAGUUCAGGGCCGCCAAACCCUAG